rnacentral:rRNA from 1 species
UACGGAGGGAGCUAGCGUUAAUCGGAAUUACUGGGCGUAAAGCGUGCGCAGGCGGUCUGUUAAGACCGAUGUGAAAUCCCCGGGCUUAACCUGGGAACUGCAUUGGUGACUGGCAGGCUUUGAGUGUGGCAGAGGGAGGUAGAAUUCCACGUGUAGCAGUGAAAUGCGUAGAGAUGUGGAGGAAUACCGAUGGCGAAGGCAGCCUCCUGGGCCAACACUGACGCUCAUGCACGAAAGCGUGGGGAGCAAACAGG